rnacentral:rRNA from 1 species
AAUGCGACCGGAGGGCACUCCCUGGUAAACUGGAAGACUGUGUGCAGGCCAAAGGCCCUAGGUGGGUUGGGAAUCAUAGACCUAGAGAGAUUUGGUCGGGCUCUCCGCUUACGCUGGCCAUGGCUAAUGUGGACCGACCCUGGCCGUCAGUGGGUGGGCUCUGCCCUACCAUGCGACAACUCGGAUAUGGCGCUAUUCAGAGCUUCGACCUCCAUCGUGCUGGGUAACGGCCACAAAGCUCUGUUCUGGCAUGAUGACUGGACCGGAAAGGGUCCCCUUAGGAUGCUUGCUCCCGGAUUAUACAAAAUCGCCACAAGAAAGCAGAGAACAGUGUACAAGGAGUUGCAUGAGGAUAACUGGAUCAGAUCAGUCGCCCGCCUUCAGUCCCCCAUACACCUGCAGGAAUUCAUCUCGAUAGCAUCUCUGACCUCCCAGGUUACUCUGUCUACGGACAGGGAGGACUCCAUCUCCUGGCGUUGGACUACAAAUGGAAUCUACUCCGCGGCUUCGGCAUAUACAGCCCAAUUCUCUGGCUCCUUUCCCAGGUUCUCGCCGACGAAGAUUUGGGAGGCACACGCGGAACCCAAAUGCAAGCACUUUUCCUGGCUGGUGCUCCAUGGAAAGAUCCUCACGGCCGACAUGCUCGCUAUUCGCGGAUGGCCGCACGAUCCUACAUGCCCGCUGUGUCUGGGAGCACCGGAGACGGCAACUCACCUCUGCAAGGACUGCCCAUUUGCGAUUGCGGUUUGGUCGCAUGUUCAGGCAUGGACCGGGGAGGCGCCGACGAACAUGAUGACAAUUCCGCCUCCCAUGGGAGUCUCCGACUGGUGGGAUCGGCUCAUCUGUCCCCUGUCCAAGGACGAAAGACGCCGGCGUAGCGGUCACUUCCUCUACACCAUUUGGAAUAUCUGGAAGGAGCGCAACCGCCGGAUAUUCAUCGGCACCCGCCUCACUCACCUAGAGGUGGCGGCCAUUGCGCUCGACGACAUAAGAAUGCGGGCUUGCGCCUUUGGCAGGGCACAAGUGGCGACCGGCAUUGGGUGA